rnacentral:lncRNA from 10 species
CAGCCAGGUACUAUUCUAGAUUGUCUUGUGAUAUUUACAAUCUAGGAGAAGGCAGGAGAGAGAACUAAGAACAGAGAGCAUGUUCUGAGAUGUCUGCUGUGUUUGCAGACUUAGAUUUUUGGCUGGACUAUUGGCUUGGGAUAGAUGAAAAUCAUUCCUUGUAUCCCCUGAUCUUAAAGUCAAGACUGAACCAGCCUCCAGAUGCAAGCCUUCAUGGGGCUUCAGAUACCAUGAGGAAUGGGCGUCCCUGCAAUAUUGUCAUGGCUGUCAAAAGUGUUAUUGGAGCUGGACGUGAGGCUUCUCCCCAGCACCAGCAUUCCAUGAAGGCAGCCCUUUUCUAGAUGGAGAAAACAGAACCUGAAGGCACCCGUUUCCCUAAACUGCUCUCACUCAUGUAAACUCCUGGAGGGCAGAGCCAUGCCUGCCAUUUUCAUCAUUGCAUUACCACCACCCAGCACAGUGCCUGGUACAAAAGAGUUGCUCAAUAAAUAAAUCAGGAUGAAUGGACAAAUACACGGAUAGGCACUUUGAACUACAGAUGAGCUUAAAUACUUUGUGUUUUUCUUAGUCAAACAUGUGCAAUUAAGCAUGUGAUAAAUUAUAUGAUGACCACA